rnacentral:rRNA from 1 species
UACAGAGGGUGCAAGCGUUGUUCGGAAUUAUUGGGCGUAAAGGGCGCGUAGGCGGCGCGACAAGUCACCUGUGAAAUCUCCGAGCUUAACUCGGAGCCUGCAGGCGAAACUGUCGUGCUGGAGUAUGGGAGAGGUGCGUGGAAUUCCCGGUGUAGCGGUGAAAUGCGUAGAUAUCCGGAGGAACCCCAGAGGCGAAGGCGACGCCCUGGCUCGUACCUGACGCUCAGCCACGAAAGCAUGGGGAGCGAACGGG